UACGUAGGGGGCAAGCGUUAUCCGGAUUUACUGGGUGUAAAGGGAGCGUAGACGGCGGUGCAAGCCAGAUGUGAAAGCCCGGGGCUCAACUCCGGGACUGCUUUUGAAACUGUACAGCUUGAUUGCAGGAGAGGCAAGUGGAAUUCCUAGUGUAGCGGUGAAAUGCGUAGAUAUUAGGAGGAACACCAGUGGCGAAGACGGCUUGCUGGACGAUGACUGACGUUGAGGCGCGAAAGCGUGGGGAGCAAACAGG
rnacentral:rRNA from 1 species